AUACGGAGGGGGCUAGCGUUGUUCGGAUUUACAGGGCGUAAAGGGCGCGUAGGCGGUAUAUCAAGUUAGGCGUGAAAGCCCUGGGCUCAACCCGGGAACUGCGCUUAUUACUGAUGAACUAGAGUCCGGGAGAGGGUAGCGGAAUUCCCAGUGUAGAGGUGAAAUUCGUAGAUAUUGGGAAGAACACCAGUUGCGAAGGCGGCUACCUGGACCGGUACUGACGCUGAGGUGCGAAAGCGUGGGGAGCAAACAGGAUUAGAUACCCGAGUAGUCC
rnacentral:rRNA from 1 species